GACGAACGCUGGCGGCGUGCUUAACACAUGCAAGUCGAACGGAAAGGCCCUGCUUUUGUGGGGUGCUCGAGUGGCGAACGGGUGAGUAACACGUGAGUAACCUGCCCUUGACUUUGGGAUAACUUCAGGAAACUGGGGCUAAUACCGGAUAGGAGCUCCUGCUGCAUGGUGGGGGUUGGAAAGUUUCGGCGGUUGGGGAUGGACUCGCGGCUUAUCAGCUUGUUGGUGGGGUAGUGGCUUACCAAGGCUUUGACGGGUAGCCGGCCUGAGAGGGUGACCGGCCACAUUGGGACUGAGAUACGGCCCAGACUCCUACGGGAGGCAGCAGUGGGGAAUAUUGCACAAUGGGCGGAAGCCUGAUGCAGCAACGCCGCGUGCGGGAUGACGGCCUUCGGGUUGUAAACCGCUUUCGCCUGUGGCGAAGCGUGAGUGACGGUAAUGGGUCAAGAAGCACCGGCUAACUACGUG
rnacentral:rRNA from 1 species